rnacentral:misc_RNA from 1 species
GGAGUUGUAGAAUUUCACAAAGUUUUGCUAUCUCCGGCUUCAAAAGAAGGUGGAGGUUCUUUUGCAAACUCUUCUGCGAAUCAUUCGAAAUAAUUCUUUCAUCAAGCUUAGCCAGGUUAACUGCUGAUACUUCUGACAAANUUAGCCAAACUUGGGGCGGUGGAAGAAUGGUUUGCAUGACUCUUAUUAAGACGAACAGUUGAGCCAGACAUCAAUUGACGCAUAUUUUGUGAUGGAGCUCCCAAAAUCCCUUCAAAUACAGAAGGUUUGAGAGAGGAUGGAUCAACAUCAAUGUUGGCCACUUUUUUGCGCUUCUUCACAACUUC